CUCUAAUAAAACCCUCUUACCAGCUCUCCAGAAACAUCUUUGAAAACCAGCCAAGCUGCAGUCCUCCCCAACUCCCAUUUCAAGUCAGUUCUCUCCUCUCUGAAGACCUUAUCCUCUCUUCUAUCUUUCUUGCAUACUGUGAAAGGAGACAAUAUGGGGAUAAGAAACUCUUCGGCAAUCUAUAUAGACCCUGCAACUCGUUCUUUUGCUGUGUGUGUGACCCAGGAGAGUUGCCAGCAACAAAAGUAAAAAAAACAAAAAGGCCAGUUUGCCCUAUCUAAAAAGUGCCAACAGUCUGAGAAAACAGCAUCCUGAAUGCACUGACUACACCCUGUUUUGACAGUCUUUCAAAAGUGUCUCAAGAUUCAUACUGAAAAGUUGAAGACUUAAAAAGGAC
ensembl:lncRNA